GAUGAACGCUGGCGGCGUGCCUAAUACAUGCAAGUCGAGCGAACGGACGAGAAGCUUGCUUCUCUGAUGUUAGCGGCGGACGGGUGAGUAACACGUGCAUAACCUACCUAUAAGACUGGGAUAACUUCGGGAAACCGGAGCUAAUACCGGAUAAUAUUUUGAACCGCAUGGUUCAAAAGUGAAAGACGGUCUUGCUGUCACUUAUAGAUGGAUCCGCGCUGCAUUAGCUAGUUGGUAAGGUAACGGCUUACCAAGGCAACGAUGCAUAGCCGACCUGAGAGGGUGAUCGGCCACACUGGAACUGAGACACGGUCCAGACUCCUACGGGAGGCAGCAGUAGGGAAUCUUCCGCAAUGGGCGAAAGCCUGACGGAGCAACGCCGCGUGAGUGAUGAAGGUCUUCGGAUCGUAAAACUCUGUUAUUAGGGAAGAACAUAUGUGUAAGUAACUGUGCACAUCUUGACGGUACCUAAUCAGAAAGCCACGGCUAACUACGUG
rnacentral:rRNA from 1 species